CAGGUCUUGACAUCCUCUGACCAUCAUAGAGAUAUGUCUUUCUNCUUCGGGACAGAGUGACAGGUGGUGCAUGGUUGUCGYCAGCUCGUGUCGUGAGAUGUUGGGUUAAGUCCCGCAACGAGCGCAACCUUGAUCUUAGUUGCCAGCAUUUAGUUGGGCACUAUAAGGAGACUGCCGGUGACAAACCGGAGGAAGAUGGGGAUGACGUCAAAUCAUCAUGCCCCUUAUGACCUGGGCUACACACGUGCUACAAUGGAUGGUACAAAGGGUUGCAAACCCGCGAGGUUUAGCCAAUCCCAUAAAACCAUUCUCAGUUCGGAUUGCAGGCUGCAACUCGCCUGCAUGAAGCUGGAAUCGCUUGUAAUCGUGGAUCAGCAUGCCACGGUGAAUACGUUCCC
rnacentral:rRNA from 1 species